UCCCAAGAAAAAUAAGCAUAUGAGGAAGA
rnacentral:piRNA from 1 species